rnacentral:rRNA from 1 species
UACGAGGGGGGCGAGCGUUGUUCGGAAUUAUUGGGCGUAAAGGGUGCGUAGGCGGUUUGGUAAGUCUUGUGUGAAAUCUCCAGGCUCAACUUGGAGUCUGCACGAGAAACUGCCGGGCUUGAGUGUGGGAGAGGUGAGUGGAAUUCCCGGUGUAGCGGUGAAAUGCGUAGAUAUUGCUCGGAAGGCCGGAGCCGAAGGGGCCCCACUGGUACGUAACUGACGCUGAGGCACGAAAGCGUGGGGAGCAAACAGG